CAAACUCCUGGUCUCAAGUGAUCCACCCACCUUGGCCUCCCAGAGUGCUGAGAUUACAAGCGUCAACGACUGUACCCGGCCCCAAAUUCCUUAUUGAGGAUCCUAGAAUACAUGAGACCAGACUUGGAAAUGAAAGUGUAACAUGUUUAUUGUUCAAAAAGAAAAACUCAAAGGUGUGUAGUGAUUUUAAAAUUUAGGGAAAUUCCUCAAUAUAGUGAAAGAAGAAAAACAAGAAAGAAAUUUAGGAAAGAAACACACUUAAACCAUAAAAAAUAGAAAAUGGACCAAUAAAGAUAAAAGCUAAACUUAACAAGGUAGGAAAAAGAAAAAGAAUAAAUUAAAAAAUUCUUUGAAAGCACCAAUAAAAUAGAUAAAACCUCCUGAGCCUGAUAAAAGGGGAAAGGAGCCAAAAAAAUUAACAAAAUUAGGCAUGAGAAAUUAGACAUAACCAUAUAUAUUGAGGAAUUGAGAAGAAGAAUAGAACUCUAUGGCAACAAAUUUGAAAUCAGAGGAAAUGGAUAAUUUCCCAGCAAACACUGAUCCUAGAAAUAGUUUGAAUAGGCCAGUUGGUUACCCAAGAAGAAACUGGAAAGGUGGUUAAAAUUUUAUCCUUUUUGAGCACCAUAAGAUGGUGAAAAAUAAAUAAAAUUUUAUCCUUGUAAAAGAUUGAUGGCCAGGCAUGGUGGUGGCCCACACCUGUAAUCCUAGCACUUUGGAAGGCCAAGGCAGGCAGAUCACUUGAGCCCCGGAGUCUGAGACCAGCCUGGGCAACAUGGCAAGACCCCACCUCUACUAAAAAUACCAAAAUUAGCCAGGCAUGAUGGUGCUUGCCUGUAGUCAACAGCUACUUGGGAGGCUGAGGUGGGGAAGAUGGUUUAAGCCCAGGAGGCAGAGGUUGCAGUGAGCCAAGACUGUGCUGCUGCACUCCAGCCUGGGUGACAGAGCGAGACCAUGUCCCAAAAAUAAAAAAUUGUUUUUAAUUAAACUUUUUAAUUGAAAAAUAUAUGGGAAAUUGUACAAAUCACAAGUAUGCAGCUCAGUGAAUGAUUACAAAGUAAACACACUCCUAUAGCCAUCACUCAACCCCCAAAAUAGAUGAGUUUUAACUAUUAUUGUACUCAAACCUGAUAAAGUGCCAGAAAGAAUGCUAUAGCCUAAUCUCACCUAUGGCCAUAGAUGCAAAAAUCCCAAAUAAAAUCAAGUUGAAUUGCACACUCUGAUUACAUAAGGUUUAUUUUAGCAAUGCAAGGCUCAGUGUCAGGAAAUUUAUUAAUUUAUUACAUCAAGAACUUAAAUGUUAUUUAAAUGUCUAGAGAGUGCUAGUGUUGUUAAAUUUUCUCAUUUUGAUAAUUAUACUAUGAUUACAGAAGAGAACGUCCUUGUUUUCAGAAAAUGUAAGUAUUUAGAGGUUAAAGGUAAACCUCUAAUUUGGUUUGCCAGUAUUUCAGAUAACUACACACACACACACACACACACACACACACACGGAAUGAUAAAGCAAAAAGUAAGGUGUUGGCAAGGCAUGGUGGCUCACACCUGUAAUUCCAACACUUUGGGAGGCCCAGGCAGGUGGAUCACCUAGGUCUGGAGUUCGAGACCAGCCUGGACAACAUGGUGAAACCCCUCUUUAUUAAAGUACAAAAAUUAGCCGGACAUAGUGGCACAUGCCGGUAAUUCCAGCUAUUUGGGAGGCUGAGGCACAGGAAUCCCUUGAACCUGGAGGCAGAGGUUGUAGUGAGCCUACAUCACACCACUGCACUCCAGCCUGGAUGACAGAGUGAGACUGUCUCAAAAACAAACAAAAAAAAGAUGUUAACAUUUGGGAAAUCUGAGGGAAUGAUGUACAUGAAUUCUUUGUAUUGUUUUUGCAACUUUUAAGUAUAAAGUUAUUUCAGGCCAGGCAUGGUAGUGCAUGCCUGUAUACCCAGCUACUCGAGGCUGAGGUGGAAGAUUCCUUGAGUCUAGGAGUAUGAGGUUACAGUGAGCUAUGAUCAUGCCACUGCACUCCAGGCUGGGUGGCAGAGUGACACCCUAUCUCUUAAAAAAAAAAAAAAAAAAAAAAACAGGUGCAGUAUCUCACACCUGUAAUCUCAACAGAACACUGAGGGGUCAAGGCAGGUGGACUGCUUGAGCCCAGGAGUUCAAGACCAGCCUGAGCAACAUGGUGAAACCCCAUCUCUGCAAAAAAUUAGCUGGUUGUGGUGGCAUCCACCUGUGGUCUCAGCUACUUGGGAGGCUGAGGUGGGAAUAUAACUGGAGCUCAGGAGGUGGAGGUUGCUGUGAGAUGAGAUCGUGCCACUGCACUCCAGCCUAUCUCCAAAAAAAAAAAAAAGGCUAUAGUAGAAGCCUAUUAGCAUGGAUAAGUGUCUGAAUAAAAGAUAACUGUACAAAAAUCAAUUGUUUUUUCUGUAUUCUAGCAAUAAUCAACUAGAAACAGUAUCAAAAGAAAAACAUUCCAUUUACAAUUGCAACAAAUAGGUAUAUAUAUAUUUGCUCUUCUACACAUAACCUAUUUCUGGAAGGGAGCAGAACUGGGCAAUUCAGGGACAGCAAUGGAAG
rnacentral:lncRNA from 10 species